rnacentral:rRNA from 1 species
UACGUAGGGUGCAAGCGUUAAUCGGAAUUACUGGGCGUAAAGCGUGCGCAGGCGGUUUUGUAAGUCUGUCGUGAAAUCCCCGGGCUCAACCUGGGAAUGGCGAUGGAGACUGCAAGGCUAGAAUCUGGCAGAGGGGGGGUAGAAUUCCACGUGUAGCAGUGAAAUGCGUAGAUAUGUGGAGGAACACCGAUGGCGAAGGCAGCCCCCCUGGGUCAAGACUGACGCUCAUGCACGAAAGCGUGGGGAGCAAACAAGG